GACGAACGCUGGCGGCGUGCUUCCUUAUGCAAGUCGAACGGAAAGGCCUGCAGCUUGCUGCGGGUACUCGAGUGGCGAACGGGUGAGUAACACGUGGGUGAUCUGCCUUGCACUUCGGGAUAAGCUUGGGAAACUGGGUCUAAUACCGGAUAGGACAGCUGUUUAGUGUCAGUUGUGGAAAGUUUUUUCGGUGCAAGAUGAGCUCGCGGCCUAUCAGCUUGUUGGUGGGGUAAUGGCCUACCAAGGCGUCGACGGGUAGCCGGCCUGAGAGGGUGUACGGCCACAUUGGGACUGAGAUACGGCCCAGACUCCUACGGGAGGCAGCAGUGGGGAAUAUUGCACAAUGGGCGGAAGCCUGAUGCAGCGACGCCGCGUGGGGGAUGAAGGCCUUCGGGUUGUAAACUCCUUUCGACAGGGACGAAGCGUAAGUGACGGUACCUGUAUAAGAAGCACCGGCUAACUACGUGCCAGCAGCCGCGGUAAUACGUAGGGUGCGAGCGUUGUCCGGAAUUACUGGGCGUAAAGAGCUCGUAGGUGGUUUGUCGCGUCGUCUGUGAAAUUCCGGGGCUUAACUCCGGGCGUGCAGGCGAUACGGGCUGACUUGAGUGCUGUAGGGGAGACUGGAAUUCCUGGUGUAGCGGUGAAAUGCGCAGAUAUCAGGAGGAACACCGAUGGCGAAGGCAGGUCUCUGGGCAGUAACUGACGCUGAGGAGCGAAAGCACGGGUAGCGAACAGGAUUAGAUACCCUGGUAGUCCAUGCCGUAAACGGUGGGCGCUAGGUGUAGGGGGCUUCCACGUCUUCUGUGCCGUAGCUAACGCAUUAAGCGCCCCGCCUGGG
rnacentral:rRNA from 1 species